rnacentral:rRNA from 1 species
GAUGAACGCUGGCGGCGUGCCUAAUACAUGCAAGUCGAGCGAACGGACGAGAAGCUUGCUUCUCUGAUGUUAGCGGCGGACGGGCGAGUACACGUGGAUAACCUACCUAUAAGACUGGGAUAACUUCGGGAAACCGGAGCUAAUACCGGAUAAUAUUUUGAACCGCAUGGUUCAAAAGUGAAAGACGGUCCUGCCGUCACCUAUAGAUGGAUCCGCGCUGCAUUAGCUAGUUGGUAAGGUAACGGCUUACCAAGGCAACGAUGCAUAGCCGACCUGAGAGGGUGAUCGGCCACACUGGAACUGAGACACGGUCCAGACUCCUACGGGAGGCAGCAGUAGGGAAUCUUCCGCAAUGGGCGAAAGCCUGACGGAGCAACGCCGCGUGAGUGAUGAAGGUCUUCGGAUCGUAAAACUCUGUUAUUAGGGAAGAACAUAUGUGUAAGUAACUGUGCACAUCUUGACGGUACCUAAUCAGAAAGCCACGGCUAACUACGUG